UACGUAGGGGGCGAGCGUUGUCCGGAAUGAUUGGGCGUAAAGGGCGCGUAGGCGGCUUUGCAAGUCAGUAGUGGAAGUCCAUUUUUCAAGGAUGGAAGUGCUACAGAAACUGCGGAGCUUGAGUGCAGGAGAGGUUAUCGGAAUUCCCGGUGUAGCGGUGAAAUGCGUAGAGAUCGGGAGGAACACCAGUGGCGAAGGCGGGUAACUGGACUGCAACUGACGCUGAGGCGCGAAAGUGUGGGGAGCAAACAGGAUUAGAUACCCGUGUA
rnacentral:rRNA from 1 species